rnacentral:lncRNA from 1 species
GAGAAGGUACUAGAAUAUAGUUGCUAGAUCCAGAAGCCUCCAAGGCAGCUAACUUGGAUGACUUCCCAAAGGCAGAGCUUUUAAAUGGAGAAGGCUUCUCAGGAGAGGGUUUAGGUGGGGAUGGAGGUGGGGUAGCAGCAGCUGCUUCAUUCAUUGGUUCAGUUGGGAUUGAUGGCGCUGUCGUAGGUGAAAUGUUAGACAUGGGAGCUUUUAUGGCACCAACAUUCCGCUUCAGAUGCAUUUCGAAGUCCCCAAUCUGUCACCAUGAAACAGAUAACUGAUUCAACAAAUAUUGUACUUUGUGGGAAAAUGCAAUUCAUAAAACAACUGAAAACCUGAAGAUGGCUAGCUGCACUGAGACAUAUCUUUGCCAAACUUUUCAGGUUAAUUAAUGAGACACGAAACUAAGUUUAGCAGAAGCAUGCAAGCAUCUGACAUGACAAGAGAAAAGGAAGUAACCUUCAUUUUCGGCUCCGCAACCUCAGUUUCAUCACACACCUCCAGAAUCAAUGCCUGACAGUUUAAGCAAUUAAAUGUUAACUAUCAAUCCAUGUUGAAUCCAAAGGAAGAACUUUUUGUUAGAUCAAUAUGAAAGGAGUAAAAAGUAAGAGUGAACUGUUCUCAAAAAGAAGUGUGAGCAAUGACAAGCAAUAAUGAAAAAGACUCAGUUUGGAGAUUUAGUAAUCACCUCAAAUCCAUUUGGAAAAGUUGCAUUCCGUGAAGUUUUCUUCUCCAAUGAGCCUUUCUUGGUGCUCUCCGGUGCAACUGUGGCAAACAUAAUUAACACUUUUAGCAUGCAAAACAAGACAAAUGCUAAGGCUAAAGUAACUAAAUAAUAGAUUACUUUAAAAUCCAUCUUGAUUUAGGUAUUUAAAAGAAAGUAAAAAUAGUUUUGCUUUUGACAAUCAGUAUAAAUCAUCAAUAAUGAAAAGCCAGGUUUGAAUAUAAGAAUAAACCCAAAUGCAAAUGUGAUUAGUUUUAGCACUGAGUCGUGAUUCAGUGGCAGCUAAACUAUAAUUAAUUAAAUUUUUGAGAAAGGAGAAUCAUGAGAUAAAAUUUUAAUCAGAAGUCAAUAUAAUGUCACCAUUUGACUUUGCUGUUGCCAUAGCUUCAGGCGUCUUUGCAGAGGAUGCUAAAACUACAGUUCGUCUUGUAGAAGAAUUGUUCUUCCCUCCAAACAUCAAGCCUGGAACACAUGAUUUUCUUGAAUUUGGCCAGCAACUAGAAGACAUAUGAAAUGUACUGGGCCUUUCAAGCGUGCAACAAGCUUGUGAAACAGCACUUACAGAAUCUAAAAUUUUAAUAACAGCAUAUGAACUUUCAAUGGCCAAAAAAAGGCAUAUAUGCAAAAUGCAAAUUCAUAAAAUUGCAUACAUAUUGCAACCAUACUUUGCUAAUGUGAAGAAAUUAAAAGCCUAUAUGAUAAAUGGAUGCCAACAAAGAACCAGAUAAGCCAGCAGCGACCAUGUUAUUUGUACCAAGGACAUCACACCACAGAUUAUACACAGCAGAAGAAACACGAUUUUACGUAGUAUCUCAACUAAAAGACUCUAAAGAACAAGAAAUACAACAUUCCAAAUACUGAAGAUGUUCAAAAUACACUUGACGCUAUUGCUUGUCAGUUAGACAAAUACAUAGUUCAGUUGGCAUCUUAAGAAUGAAAUUCAGCACCCACUUUUUCUAUUUUAGUUCUUCCCACUUUCAUUGAUGAGGGAAGACAUUGACCAAUCAAGAAGCUUAAACUUUUCGUUAAAAAAACAUUUCUAUAAUAUACUUAAACUUUAAACCUCAUCGUUCAACAAUAGAAGCAAUCAAUGAAAGGAGCUAAUAUUUUUACCAGAGAAUAAGAUAGUCCCAGUAUCAUACUUCCACCUAAAUAAUGAAACCCAAAUGAAAAUUACAACAUUCCGAGAAGAACUUCCAAAAUUAGCUUCCACUAAACCUCCCCUCAAAGAUUUAUUUCCUUUUUAAUUAUUAUUUGAAUAUCGGUUAUUGGAGCAAGAACCUAGCAUGAUCUCAAAAAUAAACUGUUAUAAAAACAAUAUUGUUGAUGUGCCUCGUCUAUGCCAAGAGCCCUGCGAGUUUACAAGCUCAGGCAUCAAUGGGAAAGCAUAGUACCACCUGAACUAGCUAACUCAAUUGCACCUGGCCAAUUUGUAAACUCGACGGCUGUUCAGGCAUUUGGGCUACCGACUGUGUGGAAAGACAAAACUUCCGCCAAACCCUCAACAAAUAUAAUUAGUAAAAAAAUAACUCUAAUUUUAUUUGAAGGAAAUUAGGUUGACAUAGUUAGAUAGCUUAACAUUCUCAGCUGAUAUUCACACAUUAAAAGAAGUAAAUAGAAAAAAAAAAAAAAAGAAGCAGAUCUCCGCAGUUUUUGAAGCUAAUUUCAAAUUUCUCAGCGUCGAAAGCACUAUAAUUGACACUACAACUAAAAAUAUGACCAAAAUAAAUAAAUACAAUUACUAGAUCCAAAACAUAUAAAAGAACACUCAAAAUUAUUCAGAAAUGGAUAUGAGAGAGAGUUACAGUGAAAGGAGCGGAGAGCAGCGCAGGACUCCAUUGGAAGAGAAGAGAGAGAGAGAGGGGGAAUCGACAAUGAAGGGAAGGGGCAAAAUGGGGAAAAGGGAAAUGAAAUUCAGAGAGGGUUGGUUAUCGAAGCGUUUGGUGGAAGAGUGUUAAAUUAGACAGAGAGAGAGAGAGCGCGCUUCGAAAUGUCCGCCGUUUUUUCCUCAGUUUCUCCACCUUUUAAAACGACUGCACUGCUCUAACGUGCACCAUUGGGUUGUAACCAACUGGUUUAUUUAACUUGGUUUUUAUAAAUUGUAUGCUAAAUAAUAAAAUGCUUUAGUGAUUAAGUGAUAUAGUUUCGUGUUUAAACUUUAGGAUUUAAGUUUUAUUUUUGAAAACUUUGUUAUUUUUGUUUCUAACUUUAUCAUUGAUUGCUUGACUUAAAUUUUAUUUACGGUCAAUUUAUAUUAGAAUUAGCUUGUUGGUUCAAGUAUUCAGGUGUUAACUUGUUUUAUGAUAUUAUGUUCGAACUCCUGUGUGAGCAAAAGAUUAUAAUUUUUGCUUUUAAGUGUGUGUAUCGGUGGUGUAGUAGAAUUGAAAGUCUAUAGUAAUGAAUGAGAGUUAACGGGUUGAUUUUAGUGGGAUUUGUUGGUUAGUGUGAUAGUAGUGUGAUAGUAAGGAGUUAAGCUUUUAUUUGAGUUAUUUUUUAAAAUUUUAAAUUUUUAUUCUUUUUCCCAAACUCUUUUUCUUCUUGACUUUUUUUUCUCUCUUUCUCUGCAAACCUUUUGCUUCUUCUUUUCUUUGAAUUCUCUUCGCAAAAUGUUCGUUCAAAUCGUUGCGUUUUGGUUUCGUGUUCCCUGUUCAGAUUAGUAGGUAAGUGUUUUUUAAAUUCGUGUAAUACUGGAUUUGUUUUCGGGUGUGUUAAUGUUGUGAACUCUUGUGGUAGGUGUUAAUCAAGGGGAUCGAAAUUUUUCUUUACCGAGUAGUUGUGGUUGGUCUAACGUAUCUGUUUCAAUAAGUAGUUAAACUCUGGAAGGAUUGUUUUUGGUUUAUAAGGCUAAGUGUUUUUGGUUUAUAAGGCUAAUACUUUCGAGUAUGUCGUUUGAGGUUUUGGUAAUCCGGUGAUUCAAUACAUAGAAUUAAUCAUUUGUAUGAUGUUUCUAGGUUCCAGAGGUUUCGUGGUGGUAUUCACGUCGAAAAUGAACCAAGUGUGUAACGAAAAACUCGAAAAACGGUGAUCGACAAAAGCCAAAAAUUGGGUUUGUCGAGCUACACGACCGUGUGUCUAGACAUGUGGUAGGCCGUGUGCGACACACGGCCGUGUGAUAGGUGUGUCUGAGGCCGUGUGAGGCUGUGUCACAUUUUGGGAGGCUAUUUCGAGCGUGUAGGCCACACGGGUAAGGUCAUUCCAGGCGUGUGGGCCACACGGGCAUGUGAGCCCAAAUUUAAUAGUUUCUCUUAGGGUCGUACAUGUCAUCCCUAUCAACUGUGGGCCUUUCGAGGGGUCAGUAUGGGCUUAAGUAAGCCUUAAAGCAUGAAAUUGGAUAAACUGUUUGUAUGCUAUCUAGCAUAAGUAAUACCUAAAUGCAUGUAACAUAAUGCAAAAUGUAUGACCUAUUAUGUAUAUACAUGUCUAUUAUCUGUUAUUCGAGCAUGUUUGAUAUAAUAAUUCUGGUAUCUAGGAUCUGAUAAUUCUAUUUUAUCUGGUAUGCAGUUGUAUCUGACUAUAGGGCAGGAUAUGUGAUGUAACAUCCUGAUUUUGGGCUUAGUCGGAACAGUGGUUUCAGGACCACAAAUUCGACGAGGAAAAUUUUAUUUUUAUUAUAUUUUUAUGGUCUACGAUUUCACGGAAUGAUUUCGUGAAAAUUUUGUUCAAAAAUUUCGACGUUUGGGCACUCAAUUUGGUCAAAAGGACUAAAUUGUAAAAAGUGAAAAAGUUGAGUUUUACAUGUUAGAAGUGUUUAAUUGUUAUGAGUUUUUAAAUCAAAGGUCCUUAAAUGGUAAUUAGACCAUUUUGAAGUUUGUGGACAAAAAUUGGACAUGGAUGGAAUUUUUUUGAAAGUUUAGUAUUAAGGGCAUUUUGGUAAUUUGCAUAUUAAAUGAUAUAAAAUGGGAAAAAUAACACAAAAUGGUCAUCUUCUCCAUAUGGAGGCCGAAAUUAGCAUGGGGGAAGCCAUGGCUAGGGUUUUCAAGCUUUCCAAGCUCAAUAGUAAGUCCGUUCUAGCCCCGUUUUUCAAGUUCUUUACGUUUUUGGAAUCCCGGUAACUUGAUUAAGCUUAUGCUAGCAAUAAUUCAACCUAGGGUUCGUAUUUGGAAAAAUACCCAUAGGUAAAAUUUGUGUAUUUUGGUAUUUUAUUAUAUAAUAUGAGGUUUUAAAUUAUAUUAGACAACUUGUGCUACUCGAUUUUAAGUGAAAACGAGUAAAAGGGUUUAAUCGGUAAAAAUACCUAAUAGUCAUAAGUGCAUUUAGAGUGAGAAUUUGAUGUUGUCAUAGAAGGGAAAAAUGAUCAGCAUGUCAUAAAACAUAAGAAUAAGGGAUGAAGUUUAAUUCCCGAGCCUAGGGGCAAAAGUGUAAUUAUGCAAAAGUUUAGGGGCAAAAUGGUAAUUUUACCAAAGUUCGUAUUAAAUGCUAUUUUGAUGAAUGUAUGUAUUAAAUAAAUUAAUUUGAUAUUAUAGAUCAAGAGAAACGAGAUUCAAGUCGUGAUCGAGGGAAAAACAAAGUUUACAAGGAAUAGGCCCGAUUGCUAAUAUUUUGUAUCGAGGUAAGUUCGUAUGAUAAUAAUAAUGCAAUGUUAUGUUUGAAUUAUAUUUCUUACUAUUAUUGCAUAUAUUGUAUGAUUUAAUAUAUUGGAAAAGUUGAUGGAAUGGUGUUUAUGACGUAGAAAUAUGACAUGAAAGAAUGUUACAUGAAGUGCAAGAAAAUGAUGAUACAUGACAAGUGAUAUAUGAAAUAUGUGAUUUAUGUUAUGUAAAUUCUUAAAAGCUGAUUUUCUAUUUGAGUUGUGUCUUAUUAUACUAUGAAUGGACAAUUGGUACUAUGGAUAGUGAGAUCGACACUUCAAGUAAGUUCGUAUAUAAAUAAUCUAUCGAUUCUUUUUAUGUUAAUAUAUUUUGAUAUCAUAUGAAAUGUGGCUGCCUAUCAAAUGAUUAUUUGAUGUAAAUUAUGAAUUUAAAUUGAUUACGGACAAUUUAGUAAAAUGUUGAAAAGUGAGGACUUUCCCGGUUGAACCUUCGGAAUAGAAACAAUACCAAUGAGCUAUUGUGAGGUCACGUGUGUAGUACUAAGUGCAGGCUACUACGUGUACCGGAUAACUGGUCGCAUGUGUAGUACUAAGUGCAGGCUAUUAUGCGUACCAGAUAGCUUCGGCUACAAGUGUGGAAAUGAGAAAAUGUGCAGGCAAUUGUGUAUCUGUUAUUAUUCCGAUCAGUUCAACGGGAAAUUGAUUAAGUGAAAAUAAAUGUGAAAGUGAUUAUGUGAUGAACAAGUGCAAGUAUAUGUUUAUUUGAAUCUAUGAGCAAUAUGCUCGAUAUUUGAGCGAACCUCGGUAAAAUGGAAGGGAUUAAGUGAAAUUGUGCAAAAGUAAACUUUAGUAGUAAAACAAUGUUGGACAGCAACAGUGCAUGAAUUUGAAAAUUUACCAAAAAUUGUGUAAGUUGAAUUAAAUUUCAAAUAAAAUAUGUAAUUAAAUUUUAUUGAGUCUAUUUUCAAAUAAAAGAAACAGGGGAAGCAAAAGAAUUCCAUAUUAUGUGAUAUUUGAAUUCUUGUGAGAUAGUGUCUGAAUGAAUUCGAGAUCCCCUAUUCUGACUUGGAAAAAUUGUUAAAAAUUAUAGAAAAAUAAUUUUGGGGUAUAAUUUAUAUUCCUAGAAUCUUGGAUGAGUCUACUUUUAAUUAAAACAAACAAGAACAUCAUCCGAGUUUUGUACUAUGAGAUAAAUAAAUUUUAGUGAAGAAAGGUCGAAGCUGUUAAACAGCAAAACAGGGGAGAUUUUGAAUAAUAAACUGUACUUAUUGGCUGGACUAAAAAUUUUGAAAAUUUUAUGGUGGAAAUAUAUAUGAGUCUAGUUUUUUUGAAAAUUUACGGAUCUUAAUUUGGAGUUCCGUAACUCUGAAUAUAAAUGAUUUAGUGACUAUUACUCAAGAAAACAGCUUAACCAGAACAUGUGUAAAUGUACAAAUGAGGUAGUUUUAUUGUGGGAAGCAUGUUAGUAAAUUGCUUAUUAUUAUUUCAUGUGAGCUUACUAAGCAUAAAGCUUACCCCCCUCCUUUCCAUUUCUUUUAGUGUUGUCAGGUUAGCUCAGGGUUGGAGACCGUCGGAGGCAGCAUCACACUAUCAAGCCAACACCUUGACAGUAUAAACACAUAUGCUAGAUUUAUCAAGUGAGUGGCAUGUAUAGGGACCUAAUUUUAUAACAUGUGUUAUUAUUAUUUGGCCAAAUAUAUUGGUCUUUAGUGAGCUAAUGAUUCUGACUUAUAAAUCUAGCUAUUUAUGUUAUGUUUGAUAUUGGUGAUGUGCAUAUGCUUGGUUGUCAUGCAUGGUUGGUAAUAAGUUGUUUAAGUUGUUUAGUUGAUGAAUUAAGUUUAGAAACACUUCGUGCUUGACUCCGGCAAUGGUCUCGGGUACGGGGGCGUUACAUGUGACAUGUGGAGGAAGUAUUCUGUGAGGCGAUAUCUCGCUAAUAUACUGGCAGCACAGUUGCGAUUUUUCUAAAAAGUGUCGUAUGAACACUAUGUGGUGUGUAUGGCUGGGUGGGUGUUUUAUAUCCACGUGGUAUGUUGGGAUGGUCGGAGUUGGUGUGUAAAGGAUGGGGGUAGGACUAUGCAUAUCUAUAUCUGUUUGAUUCUGUUUAAAAUCUGAUUUUGUAAAAGGGAUUUAUGUUUGCAUCUGUUCUGUCAUGUGAUUGAAUUUAAAAUUAUAUUUCUGAUGAGUUACACACUGAGUUUCAUGACUGACUCUUUGUUUGUUCGAUCUGUUCAGGUAACCCUCAGACUUAGGAGGGUCUGUGCGACAGAAGCCCAGUGGUAACCACAUUUCCGUAUAAAUUUCAUGCUUUUAAAAUUAGUUUAAACUUUUCUGAUUUUUUUUAGAGUUUUGUAAUUUUAAAUCUCUAGACAUUUGGGUUUAAUUUUUGGAUUUGGAUUUGAUUUGAAAUUUCUUGCACAACGUUUGACAAAACGAUUUACGAAAACAAAUGUUUUAUGUAACCAAACAUUUUUUUUUUGCGGACACAAAUUUGGUUUUCAAAAUAUAUAAACGACUAAAAACUUUCACUGCAAAUUAUCUGUUGUAUUGAAAGAGUAAACAACCGACGGUUUCCUCUUAUGAGUGUAAUAACAUGUUUUUAAAAAUAAGUGGUCUCUUAAAGAAAUAAAAAGGUACGAUGUUUUUAAAGAAAAAUAUGGAAUUUUAACUUUUCUUCGUAAUAUUUUCAGAUUCAGCCAUAACAUCUAGGCUGGGUUUGGGGUGUUACAGGGGUGGUGGCUACCUCCUACUUACAUGGCACCCUUUAAAGUUUUGACAGAUAAAAUUGAAUCAAAUCAAUAAAAAUAAAAAAAUAUAUAAUUAAAUAAAUUUACUUGGAACCAAUAUUUAAAAAAGUAAAUUAAGUUGUCAUUGAGUCUUAGCUCGAUUGACAUGGGUUCGAGUGUGCUAAAGCGCAUUAUCCUCCUAUUUAUGGGUUAGGGAAAGGUUAUACAUAAUUCUAAGCAUUGUGUCUAAAAAGAGUAGAAAUGAUCAAAAUCUAUUUGUAUCUUUGAGAGCUUGUCUCCAGGCAUAAAGCAUCAAAGCUAAAGUUUUGCUUUAGGGGUGAAAUUUCUCGAGACAAAACUUUCUAAGUCUUGAGAUAUGUUCAUGAUCUCUCGAAACAUCAUUCAUGUUGUCUUAAGACACCCUACUCUAACAUUCAUAUUUUUACCUUGAUGUGCUCGAGAAAUCCCUUCUAUGUCAAAGACAUAAACCUACAUAUUAUUUUAAAUACGCAAAAUCAAUUUUCCCAACAGUUAGAAACUCUCAAAAAUCAACGAAAGAAUUAUGGAUCAAGGACACUCAAAUGAAGACAAAAAGAAAUAAGCGUAGAACAAAAAUCCAAUCAUUUUGCCUUGUUAUUCUUAUUUCAUUAGGUGUCACUUAGGAAUUGUAAUAUAAAUAUAAAAUAUUCUAAAUAUGAUUAAAAAUAGAAAAUACAUGACAAAUUAAUAUUAGGGAUCUCAAUGAAUAGUGUAGAUUCGGAUAUUUGCAAAUUUUAAUUAUUUUUUAUAGAUUUGGAUAUUGCAUAUUCAAAAAAAAUUCAAGUUUAGAUACUUUGAUUACUAUCCAUAAUUGAUGCAAAUAUUAACUCUCGUAUAACAAUUAUUCAAGAAAUGUAUGUGAAUUUAGAUAAUAAAUAAUCAGAUUCACUUAAAUUUUGUAUGUAACAAAUUCGGAUAAUUUAAUUAAUUUUAAUAAUACUAUUCAAAUUUAAAAUAGAUUUAUAAAUUUAAAUUUGACAAGAAUCCUAAACGUUCAAUCAAUUUAAACUAUUUUUUUUAAAAUCACAUUGAACCUAUUUAACGGACCGAUUGGAUUGAGAUAUCAAUAUGAAAUAAGAGACUAGAUAAUUCGCGAAUCAAUAGUUAAAUAUAUACUUUUUACCUUUUUCAGCCACUUCCCUCUAACCUUCCCCUAUCUAUAAAUCAAGGGGUUUUUUACCUAUAUAAUAUAAAAUAAUUAAAAAAAUACCAAAACGGUACUAAGGCCAAAUUUUUGACAGUGGCGUGACCACCCUGCCAUCUGACAUCUGCAGUAAAAAAAAGCUGAAAUAACUGGAAAAAAAAAGUUGAAUCUAAAAAAAAUUAAAAAAAAAUUAAAAUACUCACUGGUCAAGCCUCUGUCAGAAGCGACACUUGUGAAGCCUCUGCCAGAGCGGCACCAGUUGGUGACAUGGCAGACGUGGCACCCACACCCCUAAUCCCCUAUUUAAGCCCCUUCCUUCCCUCCCUCUUCUUCUCCUUUUUUUCUUUUUUCUUUCCCUCACCAGCCGACUCCUUCUCCUUCUUCUUCUUCUCUUCUUUCUUUUCUUCUUCUCCCUCUUUCUUUUCUUCAUCCCGAAAUAAAGUUGAGGACCAUAAUAUAUGGUCCCAAACACAGAAAAAACAAAAGGGCUGUGCAUGAGGCCAGUGCCGCCUGUGGCAGGCACACCACCAGUGCCGCCUGUGGAAGGCACACCACCAGUUCCAGCUUUUUUUUUUCAGAUUCAGCUUUUUUUUUCAAAUUCAGCCUUUUUUUUCAGUUUUUUUUACUGUAGAUAUCAGCUGGCAGGGUGGUCACACCAUUGCCACAGGCGGCACCACCCUAUCCAUACCAUUUCCGUCAAUAAUUUGACCUUAGUACCAUUUUGGUAUUUUUAUUAUUAUUUUAUGUUAUAUAGGUAAAAAAACUCAUAAAUCAAGCUAUCCUAAGCUUAAUGAAACUUCUAUCCAACUUCCCCUUUUUCACUUUAAAAAUACUUUAAAUAAAAAAUAAUAUUCUUCUCAAUCUCACACAGCCUUCAACCGCGUUAAAUUCCCAUCAAAACUAAAACCCAGGAAAGUCAGAUCACCGUCAAAACCACAGUGUUCACACCGCCCACCCCCACGCGCUUCCUUUACCCGCUGACCAUCCUUUUAUAUGUCUUAUUUGGUUCCAUGUAUAUAUAUAUGCCUAACUCCAAUACCCUUUGUUCCCAUCCUCCAAAUAUGGACAUUUCUUCUUUCUCAUUUCUUAGUCCCGAAGAUUUUUGUAGUAUUAGUACUAACCCCUGGUUCCAAGACCUUGAUAACGGGUUCAACAAAAGGCGCAAGAAGGAAGACAAUUCCAAGGGUGGCUUUGGCAAUGGGUGUAUCAAUGAAGAAGGAUUGAAGAAGAGUGGAUAUGGUGAUAUACUAGCUUCUUUGUUGUUAUUAGAAGAAGAAGCUAAGCAAGAAGAAGCAGAGUGGAUGAGUGAAUCCCAACAAGAGAAAGCUUUGUUUGAAUCCAAUCACAAAAGAAAAGUUCAAGCGAUGAAUGAGUUUUACGAUCAGCUUCAACAACAUUACUCUGAAACUGUGAAACCAUCUUGGAAAUCUGUGUCUGCUUUGGCUGCCACUGUUGCAACGACUUCAGGGAAUGACACGACAACGAAGGCGGAGGUGGCAGUGGCGGGGUUUCAACAAAGGAGGUUAUGGGUGAAAGAUCGAUCAAAGGAUUGGUGGGAUCGUUGUAACCAUCAAGAUUUCCCGGAGGAAGAGUUCCGAAAGGCCUUUCGGAUGAGUAAAUCGACGUUCGGGUUAAUAUGCAGGGAAUUAGAGCCGGUGGUGAUGAAGAAGAAUACUAUGCUGAGAGAUGCAAUACCUGUUCGACAACGAGUAGCUGUUUGUAUAUGGAGGUUGGCAACAGGGGAGCCACUUAGGCUUGUUUCAAAACGAUUUGGACUUGGGAUUUCAACUUGUCAUAAAGCUGGUAUUAGAGGUAUGUUCAGCGAUAAACAAUGUCUUGAUGCCCAAGUUUCUUCAGUGGCCUGAUGAGAAGAAAAUGAAAGAAAUUAAUGAAGAAUUUGAGUUGAUAUCGGGGGUACCAAAUAUAGGAGGUUCAUUGUAUACAACUCAUGUACCAAUUAUAGCACCUAAAGUUAAUGUAGCAGCUUAUUUCAAUAGAAAACAUACAGAAAGGAACCAGAAGCCUUCUUAUUCAAUUACAGUACAGGGAGUGGUUGAUCAAAAAGGGAUUUUCACAGAUGUUUGUAUUGGAUGGCCUGGUUCAAUGCCUGAUGAUCAAGUGUUAGAGAAGUCUGCUUUGUUCCAAAAGGGUUUGAAGGAUGUUUGGAUUGUUGGGAAUUCUGGGUAUCCUUUAAUGGAUUGGGUUUUGGCCCCUUAUACACAUCAAAAUUUGACUUGGGCUCAACAUGGUUUCAAUGAAAAAAUGGGUGCGGUUCAAAAUGUUGCUAAAGAAGCAUUUGCUAGAUUAAAAGGGAGGUGGUCUUGCUUACAAAGGAGAACUGAGGUGAAGCUUCAAGAGUUGCCAAUAGUGCUUGGAGCUUGCUGUGCUUUGCAUAAUAUUUGUGAGAUGAACAAUGAAGAGAUGGACCCCGAAUUACAGUUUGAGAUAUUUGAUGAUGAGAUGAUAGCUGAAAAUAACUUGAGAUAUUCUAAUGCUGUGCUUGCUAGGGAUAAUAUUGCCCAUAAUCUGUUACACCACGGUCUUGGUGGAACUAGUCUUCUGUAGUAUUUCAAUAACAUGUCAUAGCCCAUUAUGUAAAACUCAAAGCAACAAAAGUCUAAAAGCUUAUUACACAAAAGAAUAUAGGUUAUACAAUUGAUAAACCUCUCUUCAAUCUAUAGUAUGCUUAUAUAUUGUUCUAUGGUAAUCCUGGGAAUUCAAUAGACUAGUAACAUUGAGUACAGAUAACCAACUACACCGGCUCGGGGCACUCCAUAAGUAAAACCACAAAAUGAUGUGAGAAAAGAAAAUGCAUACCCAAGGACUUUGUGACAUUGUCUCUGCAAAAGUAUUAUAGGUAGGAGAAAGAGAUUAGUCGAUGCCAUGAAAUGAUGGCAAAACUGCGAAGAGUGGAUCUCCGUAACCAACGGCAUCUGUUCAACACAGUUGAAACAAAGGCAACAGUUAAAUGCAAAUCAACUUUAAUCUAUUCUCCAGUAAUUAUGCAUGUGGCAUUGCCAUACAAAGAUGUUUUAGACAUUUAAACCGAAAUAAAUAUGAAAUGCACAGAUAAAAUUAUACCUCCAUCUUCGAAGAGGAUCUUUAAGACUGUUCCAGCCAUAUCAGACUGUUUUAACAAAUACAAAACACAAACCAGUGAACACCUACUUAAUGUGUAUAUAUAUAUAACACUAACAAGUGGAGAUAAAUUGAAUUCACCUUAACAGGAAGUUCAAAACCAAAUUGAUUCAAGAAUCCUAUCACUUGUCCUUCUUUGAUCAAAUCACCCUGCAAGUAUUUAUCACUUACGAGGAUCAAGAAAAGCCAAGUGAAGAUACAAGGUCAUGAUAGUAAGAAAUCUACAACAUCAGCAUUAUCUGUAAUCAAAGAAUGUUUGAAAUGUUUUAGGUCAGAAUGCCCAAUUGACACUGAAAUAAUACCUCCUUACAGAUAGGAGGUUGCCUUUUUCCCUUGACUGUUCUACCUCUUUGGAAUAAACCAACCUGCAGUAAAGUGAUGCAACUUAAAAACGAUUUUCAAAGGGAUAUAGGAUACAACAUAACCGUAGCUCUUCAUAAACAGCACAUACAACGGGAGAAGGUACUAGAAUAUAGUUGCUAGAUCCAGAAGCCUCCAAGGCAGCUAACUUGGAUGACUUCCCAAAGGCAGAGCUUUUAAAUGGAGAAGGCUUCUCAGGAGAGGGUUUAGGUGGGGAUGGAGGUGGGGUAGCAGCAGCUGCUUCAUUCAUUGGUUCAGUUGGGAUUGAUGGGGCUGUUGUAGGUGAAAUGUUAGACAUGGGAGCUUUUGUGGCACCAACAUUCCGCUUCAGAUGCAUUUCGAAGUCUCCAAUCU